CAAUGCCCCAGCCACUCUCCGUGCCCCAGUGCCUGCUCCUGUCCCAGUCCAUGUCCCUGUCACUCUCCCUGCCCCUGCCCUUGCCCUUCUCCCCCUACCCGUCUCUCCCAGCCCCUGUCCCUGUCCGAGUCCCCGUCCGUGCUCCUGUCCAGCCCCUGCCCCUGCCCUGUCCCGCGGGGUGUGCCCAGGCGCGGGCGCGGCUCUUGCAGAGCCCCGGGCUGUGUGUGCCUGCCAGGUGAGCUGGGCCGAUCCUGCUGUUUGGGAUGGCCUCUCCCGGCAGGCUGGCAUCCCAGGCGUCUGGCUGCCUCGGGUUGGAGGCUACAGCGUGGUUUUAGUCAAACGAGGCACAGACAAGACUGUCAAACCCUGCCUGGAAAUCUUGCGCCCUUCCUCCUUUCCACAUGCCAUUUUUAAACUCGGUGCUACCAGAUUCCCCUGGACACCAGGUGCUGGAACAAAACACGUUGGCUCUGCAGCCUUUCUGGCAAAAAAUGGAACAAUCUAUUUCUUUGCCAGCUGACAAGCCUGGGAAGCCAAGAAACCAACUGAGCAGUCGGCCUGAUGCCAGGGAGCUAGAUAGCCAGUCAGCUGAGCUACAGUGAGAAGCCAACUUGGCCAGCAACCACAGCCAGAUCACAGCUAAAACUUCUGUAGAAAGUUUUGACGGAACCAGGAGAAUUCAGAAUGUUCAGUGCCAGUCUGCUCAAUUAGAAGAUGGUUAAACAAACCCUCUUAAUAACUGACUGCGGUUGGGAAAGGAUGUAACUGUACUGCACUUUGUGUUCCUUAUGGAUUUCUUCAGCUUUUGCCUUGUGAGUUAUGCACAUAUUUAUUGCUACUAUUAAAUCAAUGAAUUUUCCUUAAGGAUUAAUGAUGACACCCAAGCCUAUGAGGGAGUUUUCAGUGCUAGUUUUGUAAUGAUCAUUCAAAUAACACUGCGUGCCAGCAGUACCUCAUAGUAUCUGCUUGUGUAUGUCUGCCUACUAACCAGAAGGUACAGUUACUGCAGGCUACACUGAGAGACUGAAAUAAACACUUCUGUCUGCUAUCAAA